UACGUAGGGUGCAAGCGUUAAUCGGAAUUACUGGGCGUAAAGCGUGCGCAGGCGGCUUUGCAAGACAGAUGUGAAAUCCCCGGGCUUAACCUGGGAACUGCAUUUGAGACUGCAUGGCUAGAGUGCGGCAGAGGGGGAUGGAAUUCCGCGUGUAGCAGUGAAAUGCGUAGAUAUGCGGAGGAACACCGAUGGCGAAGGCAAUCCCCUGGGCCUGCACUGACGCUCAUGCACGAAAGCGUGGGGAGCAAACAGG
rnacentral:rRNA from 1 species